ensembl:lncRNA
AUUUUAAAGGUUUUUAUUUAUUCCAUAAACAAUAUAACAAAACUCAGCAAGUUAACAAGAUGACGUUUCCACCAUACAGAGUCAGUCACAAAUAUUUAAAACCUUUGCAACAAGAACAACAAAACCCAAAAUCUUACAAGAAUAAUUUACAAGAGGAUCUAUAAAACAGCAAAGCGCUCACAAAUUGUCCAGGUUCCUUUACACGAUAUCACUACACUCGUUCACAACAGCUCUUUUUUUGUGUGUGUUUUUAUUACAAAAUUCCCAACAAAAGUUGUCAUUUUUUUGUCUUUGUAUUUUGGUUUUUAAAACCAGAAACUUUUAAGUAUACAUCCUUUUAUUAACACCCGGAGGUGCAAAAAAAGGGAAACCUCACACAUACAAACACUUCACAGCACUUUCCUAAGAAAAAUAUACACUUACAAAAUAUUUUACAAAUUGGCACACUUAAAAAUAUACAAGAUUUUGUAGGCGUCUUAGAGUGAUCCUUAAGAAUUAUACUUCAAUUGACUCUACAGAAUAUUUAUAAAGCUUAUUCUAAAAGAAAAAAGGCAAAUCAUUUCCAAACAUGUUAAAAUUGCAGUGUAAAAUGUGGAACAGAAAUGGAUAUGUUACAUUCAUAAAAAGGGCCAUUUUAUAGUUCUUAAAUGCUCAAGGGGGGGAUAAAAGUUUUCUUUAGCACCAUAAAACAGGAGCAACUUCCUAACGAGGUGCCUCUAGUUCUAUGGGAGGGAACUCAAGGAGCAGUAAAGUACAUUCACAUCUCUGGAGGCAGCAGUCGAAACGCCCCGGAACGGAGCAGCUCCUUGGAUUUCUACCCUGCUUCCCACUGGGAGUAAGAGACAAAAGGAGUUUAACUGGUACCUUUCUUUUAUGUGUGUGUGUGUGUGUGUGGUUUAGUCUAUGUUUGAGUCUUCCCUUUGUGCUUUUGCAAUGGACGUUUGUCUGUCUAGUGAAGGGUAGUGGCGAAUAUCAAUUUGACUUCUGGUUUCCUUUUGCACCAAGUGUUCAAAGGCUCAGUAAACGUGUCUGGCAACCCAAGCAUCCUGCGAGAUGGAGGGCGUCCUCCUACUUUAAAUCCCAAUUCCCUUAGAUGGCUGUUACUCCACUGUCAUUAGUGUCACUUGUUUACCUGAGAAACAGAUUUGAAAGCCUUGCUUCUACCACAGACAUUGAUUAUUUUAUAUAUAUUUAAUUCCUUUUUUUUUUUUGCAUUAUUUCACAUGCUGAAGAGAUAAAGAGGCACAUUCUCAAAUAGAUGUCAGCGGCUUGAACCAUGCAACUUCCACUGGACCCCCUGGGAGCUGCACAGGCAAAGUCCAACACACCGAGUUGAGAAAGUAAGACCGAGGGCCUGAUCCUGCACUGACUGAAGUCCACACACCUGAUCCUCUGCUCACUUACACUGACCUCAAGGGUGUUUUUGCUCAUGAUUUAACAGCAAAGGCCACUGCCAUCCAGGAAAGCACUCGGGAAGCAGGAGCCUAUGGGACCCACACGAGUGCUUUGCUGGAUCAGGACCUUAAGGAAAGAAGAAUGUGGUCCAGCAGGUAAAGGAUGAAAAUGCUUAAAAUGUCUUUAUUUUGGUUCGUGGCUCAUUGGAGCCAUAGUGCCAAGAAAAACUAACAGCAAUGGGUUCACAAAGCGACCACGGCCGGGCUGAAAACAGCCUUGGCUCUUUCUCCGAACACAGACCUGGCCUCGGCAGGACAGUGCAGCACCAGCAAGGGACAGCCCCUCGUGCUCUGCUCACCUCCUCCUCCUCCUCCCAGAACAACACCUAAAUCUGGUCCACGGUCAUUAUUCUCAAGCUGUUGUUCAAGAAAUCCCCCCUUUUUAUGCUUAUAAAAAGAAAAGCAAGAUGUAAACCUGGUAAAGAGUUUUUGUCUUUUAUAAAAACCUAUUACUUGAAUCCCCAUCAUUGAUUAUUUUUCUAUUUACAAAACCUCUAUAUGCAAGUACCUCCAGCACACCAUGGUCACUGGGGGUGGGCUGGCUACUGCUAGGUCGCUGUAGGGUUUCUUUCUGCAGUCACUGCAGGGAGACGGAUGUUCCCAUUCCACAGGACUCUUUCAGGAGGUGGAGCAAGAGCCACAAGGAAGUGCUCCACGUUGUUCUCCUCUCGGAUGGAUUUUAUGACCUUUCUUUGCAAGUGGCUGGUUUCUCCUUCCUAAUUUCACUGCCAAUUGUACGUUGCCCAAGCCGCAGUGUGCCAGCACAGCGCGGCUUAGGAGAGAAGCAUCACCGACACUGGUCCUGUCAUACAGCGCCCAGUGGGACACCUCUUAGAAUAGGAAUGAGACAAGAUAAAGUAGAAAAGACAUUUUAAUGGAUGCUGCAGAAUAUAAGUCUUUUGCCUGGCUUGGAUUAGUUGCCCCAAACCCGCAGGAGCCCAAGAAGAUGCAAGAGGAGGCUGGAAGUGCAAUGGGACUGGGCAGGAGAAUGAGCUGAGACAGGAGCCAAUAUGGGGAGCCCUGGAGUGUGUGGAUGGUGGGCAGGGAUGGAUGGAAGCCAUGUCCCGGUCCUCCCACAGCUGGGAACAGUGCCAUAAAAAACCAAAACCUCAUGAAUACUGACAAGAAGGGCAAGUGGAAAAAGAGAGGUGGAAUGGCAAGGAGUUAGGCAAAGGUGGGAAUUCAUGAAAACCUUGAGGUAGUGAUAGGCAGGUGGAGAUGAAUUUUAGGAAAGCAAACUUGCAGCUCUUCAAGGAGUUGGUCAAUAGGACUCCCAUGGGAACUGCCUGCAGGGACAAGGGAGCAGAGCAGAGCUGGCAGAUCUUUAAGGGCGCUUUCCAUAGAGCACAAGAGCUCUUGAUCCCCAGGUUUAAGAAAUCAGGAAAGGAAGGCAAGAGGCCGGCAUGGCUGGGUCGAGACCUGCUGGUCAGAGUAAAGGGCAAGAAGGAAAUGCACAGGCAGUGGAAGCAGGGACAGAUAUCCUGGGAAGAGUAUAGGAGCGUUGCCUGGUUGUGUAGGGAUGGGUCAGGAAGGCCAAGGAGUGGCUGGAGCUGGACUUGGCAAGGGAUGCAAAGAAUAAUAAGAAGGGCUUCACCAAAGGCAAGUCCUGCCUUACCAACCCAGUGGCCUCCUAUGAUGAGUGACUACAUGAGUGAAGGGAAGAGCUACGGAUGUUAACUAUGUAAUGAUUCUGUGACUUCUAUAAGGCUUUUGACAUGAUCCCCUAAAGCAUCCUUCUUUCUAAAUGGGAGAGAUGGAUUUGAUGGUUGGACUGUUCAAUAGAUGAGGAUGGAUGGUGUCACAUCCAGAGGGUAGUGGUCAAUGGCUCAAUGCCUGGAUGGAGAUCAGUAACAAGUGAUGUCCCUCAGGGGUCCAUACUGGGACCAGCACUCUUUAGUAUCUUCAUCAGUAACACAGUGGCAUCAAACGCACUCUCAGCAAAUGACACCAAGUUGAGUAGUGCAGUUGACAUGCCUGAGCAAUAGGAUGCCAUCCAGAGAGACCUGGACACACUUGAGAGGUGGGACCAUGCAAACCUCAUGAGGUUCAACAAGGCCAAGUGCAGGGUCCUGCACUUGGUUUGGAGAAACCCACAGUAUCAAUACAGGCUGGGGAUGAAGGGAUUGAGAGCAGCCCUGUGGAGAAGGACUUCAGGAAGAAAUCUUUUACGAUGAGGGUGGUGAAAACUGGCACAGGUUGCCCAGAGAGAUGAUAGAUGCCUCAUAAUUGGAAACAUUCAAGGCCAGGUUGCACAGGGCUCUAAGCAAUCUGAUCUAGUUGAAGAUGUCCCUGCUCAUGGCAGGAAGGUUAGACUAGAUGACAUUUAAAGGUUCCUUCCAACACAAACCAUUGUAUGAUUCUAUCAAGAUCAAGAGGAAGGAAGACAAAUGGCCCAAAUUUCGGGGUCAAUCAACAGAGAUCACUUUUUCAGCUGCAGAGAAGGGCCAGUGCCACACCACAAGGAAACCAGCUCUUGAACAUCUUCCCAGUCAAAGAUUUUUUGGGAGGACAAGGGAUGACCACCAAAGACAGCAGCAAAAUCAGAAGGACUGAAGGAGAGAGCAACAAGGCAGCUGGUAUUUGCAAUUAACAGCGUCCUGAAACACCUAGCUGGGUAUUCAUGGAUUUUGAACACAUAAUAAAACAGCCAAUACAUUUUAUGCCUUAUCUUCAUGCCCUAUUGCACAUCUCUCACAUGCAAUAAAUAUUGCUACCUGGUUCAGUACAGGGUAUCUUAUUACAAUGAGUCCCAUAUUCAUAAUAUUAAGCAUAACAAGCACAGUGCAGGCCAGUUGAAAUGUGCUUGCAAAUAAUGGUUCUGGGUCAAAAAGAAGAGCCAAAUCCCAGCCCUGGACCUGACCUGUCUCCAUAAGAGCUGCAGCCUGAAUGUGUGAAAGAAGGGAGCUGGCAGGUCCUAAUGCAGGAGCAUGCAGGAGGAAUGCUGGAAAAAUGGGAUACACCAACACCAUGGCAGUGGCUGGAGCUUGUAAUACCUGAUGACCAUACAAAUAGAAAAGAUAGAUACUGGGGUAGCAGGGGAGAGCAUGGUGGCUGCAGCGGAGCCUAACACCCAAGGAUGGAGCUCUAGCACAACUCCUAAAUAAACCCUGAGCACCCUCUGGAUCAACCUCCAGGAGCCAGAGCUGGGAUAGGAUGCUGCACCCUGCAGGGUACCCAGGGACCGCUCUCAUCUGGGCAUCACCAACAUUGCAUUUUUCAUGGCAUAAAUGAACUUAGAGAAUGGUUUUCAGAAUUGUUAUUUUUCAUACUUCUUUCCUUCAUCUGUUAAACAAAAUGCAAUGUAAUUACCGCGCUGUUCUCUGUGGGAUUGCAGAGCUGAGCCUAAGCUGUACCUGGAGAUCUGCAAAUGCUGAAAACAUUUUGAUUCUAAAUCAACACUCUACAGCUCCACUUCAACUCCAAGUGUUCACUCUGCUGUUUUGCUAAAUUAACUUACAACUAUUCUGCUGUUUUGCCUUGCACCUGGGCUGAAAAAAACCUAUUUUAAGGAAACCCAAGUCUAGUCCUAUGCUCACAACCAGGUCAAGAACAUGACCUGUCCAACUGCUAUUAAGGCUCCUCUUCCUCAUCAUUUUCUAUUGCAUAAACAUGUCCAAGCCUCAUGUCCCUCUGCUCCCAACAGCUCCCAGUUAGCAGGGCUCUUGCAUAUCAAGGUUUCAUAAGAAAUCAGCAGCAAAAUGCACAGGCUCUCAGUUGCACAAGGAAAAGAGAUAUUUGUUGGGUUUGUUAUUGUGGUGGAGGGCGAGGGUGUGGUGAGUAGGGUUACAAAUAAGGCCUUUUGAGAAUACAUUUAGCAUUCAAUCCUUAAUGCUGUCUUGAUAAAGUCCAGUCAUGUAUGAUCCGGCCCUGAUUGGUGAGAUCACAAAUAGCUCCGUUUGUUUUUAUGAUCCUAUGAACUGAAUCAAAGAAAAGGGUCCAAGUUGCAUUUAAAACUAAUGACUUUGCUGUUGAAAGUUCAAACUAUAUUGGCAUUGCAAGGUUAGACAUGUAGGAAACACCAAAGCUAUGACAAGGAGAGCGCUUUGGACAGGCUCUGCAUCGAAAAUGUUCAAGAAACUACUCAAAGGAAAAGUAAAUAGCAAUAAAGAUAUGAAACGUAUUAGUUCUGUUUUUAUAACUCUUUUAGAAUUCAUCCCAGGUUCUUAUAAAAUAUAUAAAACUGAGAUACAAAGAAUUAGCAAUGUAACUUUGCAUUUCAAAUGAUCUUCAGCUACAGGUUUUGCUUUAAGAAAACAGACACUUGAAAAGCAGCUGUUCUGUAGUCUCUAGAUGCAGACACUUGAGUUCCUGGCAAACUUACCGUGUCAGUGGGUUUCUGAACUCCUCCACCAUUUCAACCCUCUCCUGUAAGGAAACUCAACACUUCACCAUGAAGUUGUUCUGCUCAUGGUUUCAAAGAGAGGACGUUACCAUUUCCCAGCAUCGGUUUCAAAGUUCC